rnacentral:lncRNA from 10 species
AAUCGAUGCCCGACCACGGGCCCGAGGGGCCCUUACCCGGCAGGUGGGCGGCCGCGGCUCACCACCCCCCGGCUGGUCCCCAGCCCGCGCCGAGUACCCCCGAGUGCCCUUCUCUCCGGGCGCGGGCAGGACGCAGGAGCAGGCGGAGUCGAAAAGACCCCGGCCAUGGAUGGGAGACCUAGGACAAAGAUGGAAAAGAGUGCUUGGCACCAGACAGCUGCUCAAUGAGGAACACAACUGCAUCAUGGAGAAUCCCCAGCAUCCUCAAACCGUUAACACCUAGAAGAAUCAGAAGCACCAGGGAAGUGAGGAGCGCAGUCAACAGGAAACAGCAUGGUCCUACAGAAAUGCCUAUGCUAUAGUCACUCUGCCAGAGGCUGCUCCAGGGUGAAUUAUAGUACAUAUUAGCUCGAAAUUAGCAUCAGAUAGCCAUUAAAAUGAUGCUGAUACAGAUCUAUCAAUAUGGAAAAUGUUUGUGAUAGACGGCUAAGUGAAAAAAGCAUGCCACCAAACUAUGGACUAUUUUGCUUUAUUACACAGAAAUGCUAUAUGCUAAUGCUAUAUACACGUGUUAUUUCAUUUCGUGCUCAUAAUGACCACACAGGGCAGGAAUUACUAGCUUCAUUUUCAGGUGAGCAAACAGGCUUAGAGAACUGAUGUAACACUCCCAAGGCUACAUGAUUUGACAAGAUAUGAACUCUGGACUGCAUAACUACAAAUAUAAUCCAUCUAGGAAUGGAUUAUCUAGGUUCUAUAAGCUUAUGUUCCCCCAGAUACCUCACUAAAGUUUAAUUUUCUUUUUUUUUUUUUUUUUUUUUUGAGAUGGAGUCUCACUCUGCCACCCAGGCUGGAGUGCAGUGGCAUGAUCUCAGCUCACUGCAAGCUCCACCUCCCGGGUUCACGCCAUUCUCCUACCUCAGCCUCCCGAGUAGCUGGGACUACGGGCGCCGCCACCACGCCUGGCUAAUUUUUUUCGUAUUUUUAGUAGAGACGGAGUUUCACCAUGUUAGCCAGGAUGGUCUCGAUCUCCUGACCUCGUGAUCCACCCGCCUUGGCCUUCCAAAAUGCUGGGAUUACAGGUGUGAGCCACCGCGCCCGGCUUUUUUUUUUUUUUUGAGACAGACUCUAACUCCGUCACCCAGGCUGGAGUGCAGUGGUCCGAUCUCAGCUCGCUACAACUCCACCUCCUGGGUUCAAGCAAUUCUCCUGCCUCAGCCUCCCAAGUAGCUGGGACUACAGGGGCACGUCACCAUGCCCAGCUAAUUUUUUUGUAUUUUUAGUAGAGACAAGGUUUCACCAUAUUGGCCAGGCUGGUCUUAAACUCCUGACCUCAGGUGAUCCACCUGCCUCAGCUUCCCAAAGUGCUGGGAUUACAGGUGUGAGCCACAGCACCCAGCCAGCCUCACUAAAGUUUAAAAGCAAUGUUAAUACACCCCUAACACAGAACUCUUGUGUUGUUAUGAUGAAUGUGUGGAGUAAUACACUCAGUAGCUGCUUUGUUCUACUCACCGUCUCAUGCUGUUAAUGAGCAUUUUUUAUUUAUUUUUAUUUUAUGAAAACAACAUUUAUAUAAGUCUGCUGGCAUUGAUGGUGAAAGGCUUUCAUUUUAAAAUUAUUUGGCUUUUUCCAUUAAAGGGACAGGGCACAAUUACAACUGCCACACUUCUUUUUGACACUAGCAAAUAGCUAAUGUUCUUUACAUUUUUAUUAAGUAAACAAUAUUAUUUCAUUUACGAAUACUGGUUUGGUAUUAUUAAUAGAUAUAGAAACAGUAAUGGUGUUAAUUUUGGAUCAGGUAUCCAUUUCAUAAGUGUAAUUGUAUUAGGACUGCAAUUGCACAUAUGCAAUUCCAACAGACAUACAGUUUGCAUUAUGAAGCAUAUUUAGAGAUGUAACCUUGGUGUAAUGUCCUGGUGCAGAGGAAAUAGCAGAUGAAAAAGCAGACGAUCAUGCCACUGCACUCCAGCUUGGGCAACAGAGUGAGACCUCAUCUCAAAAACAAACAAACAAACAAACAAAAAGAAUGUUGUCUCUAGAUAAGCAAUAUUCUUUUUCUAAGAGACAGGUUUCACUUUGUUGCCCAGGCUGGAGUGCAGUAGCAUGAUCAUAGCUCACUGUAACCUUGAAUUUCUGGGCUCAAGCUGCUCCCGCCUCAGCCUCCCAGGUAGCUGGGACUACAGGCAUAUAUGCCACUGUGUUUGGCUAAUUUUUAAAUUUCUUGUGGAGACAGGGUCUUACUGUGUUGCCCAGGCUGAUCUUGAACUCCUGGCCUCGAGUGAUCCUCCUUCCUUGGCCUCCCAACUUGCUAGGUAGGAUUACAGGUGUGAGCCACUGCACUGGCCCCUGAUAAGUGACAUUCUUAUGAUCACAACUGUUGGUCCCUUAAGAAUUUGGCUUAGGUAUGUAACACUAUGUAACACAACUGUAUAAGAUAAGAACUUAAGCCAUAUAAGGCAAUGGCAAACUCUUUUUUCUUUUCUUUUCUUUUUUUUUUUUUUUUUGAGACAGAGUCUCACCCUGUCGCCCAGGCUGGAGUACAGUGGUGCGAUCUUGGCUCACUGCAAGCUCUGCCUCCUGGGUUCACACCAUUCUGCUGCCUCAGCCUCCCGAGUAGCUGGGACUACAGGCGCCCGCCACCACGCCUGGCUAAUUUUUUGUAUUUUUUAGUAGAGACGGGGUUUCACUGUGUUAGCCAGGAUGGUGUCGAUCUCCUGACCUCGUGAUCUGCCCACCUCAGCCUCCCAAAGUGAUGGGAUUACAGGCGUGAGCCACCGCGCCCAGCUGGCAAACUCUUUUCUACAGACCACUAAUUUUCCUUAAUAAUUUUUUCCUGGAAGUUCUAGAUUGCUGUGAAUUCUUAGGUUAAAAAAAAAAGACAUUGAAAAACAUACUACAUACUCAAGUAUAUUUUCACAGAAAGUUCCUUUUAAUAUGUACACUGAAUGUUCAACUCUCACUCACCAGAGAGAUUACAAUGAGAUUAAUAUUGUGUUGAUAAUGGGAAAACAAAGAUGCAUUAUGUGUGGGCCCCCGUCUGUUCUUAAGGAGCUCACAGCAGAGGAAGGCAGAGACGUAUACAAACCAUGCAAUGUGCAGGUGUCCAAAUUAAGGUAUAAUAUAAAGUACUAUGGGAACUCUUAAGAAGGAACAAUCUGUUCUGCUUGUGGGAGACUCAUUUAUUCAUUCAAUAAAUAUUUACAGCACACCUAAAAUAUCCCAGGCACUCUUUCCAUCUUUCCACUGUGCCAGACAGGACCUUAGGAACUUACAGGUGAGCAAGACAGGCAAGGUACCUGUAUUCAUAGAGCUUUUACUUCAUGGAAGAGACAGACAAUAAACACAUCAAAGAUAUUCCCACUUCAGGACUUUUUCAUCUGCUGUUUCCUCUGUGUCAGGACUUUAGAAAACAUAGUUAAUUUAAUUUAAUUUUUUUUAAGAGAGUUUCACUGUGUUGCUCAGCUGGUGCCGUGGCUAUUCACAGGUAUGAUCUUGGCACACUAUAAGCUCAAACUCUCCUUCCUCAGCCUUCUAGCUUGCCUCGAGGACUUUCGCUUUAUGUAUAUGCAUGAUUGGCUUCUUCUCAUCAUCACUCAGGUCUAAGCUCAAAUGUUGCCUCAUCAAGAGAUUCCAGAUUUCCUGUCACCAACUACCCACCUCUGUGUCACUCUCUAUUUCAUUUCCCCAUGUUAUCUUCUUCAUGGUACUUACAUAUACAUAUACACCACUAGAAUAUAAGGGCAUGAGGGUAAGGACAAGGUGGCAGCACUGGAAAUGGAGUAUAAUGGACAGGUUUUGGACUGGGGAACACAAGGGUCAUUGUGGUUAACCUCCAGGCUAAACCUUCCACCCCAGAUGAUUAAUCUAAGACAAUCCUGGGAAUCCCAGUCCCUUUGCCAGAGACUGGCUUAGAAAUGGACAUGGGGCUGGGUACCUGUACUCUCAGCGCUUUGGGAGGCCAAGGUGGGUAGAUUACCUGAGGUCAGAAGUUCGAGACCAUCCUGGCCAACAUGGUGAAAUCCCGUCUCUACUAAAAUACAAAAAUUAGCUGGGUGUGGUGGCGUGUACCUGUAGUCCCAGCUACUCGGGAGGCUGAGGCAGGAGUAUUGCUUGAACCCGGGAGGCGGAGGUUGCAGUGAGCCAAGAUUGCACCACUACACACUCCAGCCUGGGCAACAGUGUGAGACCCUGUCUCAAAAAAAAAAAAAAAAAAAAAAGGACAGAAAAAGAAAUGGACAUGGUACCAAAUUCUGGUCUGUGAGAUGUCCAUUUGUUCCUAAGCCUCUCCUGUUCCUCUGAACACUGUGAUGACUGAAUGUUAUUGUGGGAACUGCUGCAGCCAUUUGCUAUCAGCUUGAAGAUGAAGUUUUACUAUAGAUCGUAAAGUGGAAAGAAGAAAAGAAUCUAGGUAUUUGAUGACAUUGCAAGCUCCUGUACCAAUCAAUCCUGACACGUCUGUCCCUACCUCUGGACUUUCU